GUCGCUAUUUGCGCUACAAACGCUAACGUUAUCAUUGAAUGAUAUUACUAUAUCUUGUAUUUUUAGCGCAAAUAGCGACUCCCUGAACGCGCCCUAAAUAUCUCAAUUUCACGACGGUAAAUCAUCGGCAUAUCCCGCCAGAAGUUUAAUACUGUCUUAAGCUGUUUUAACAUAAGAUACGCUUCAACCUCCUUAAGUAAAAUUCUCUAUGCGAUUACGAUAUCAGGUCUUUGGUUUUUUAUUUUUUCAACUAUACAUCCAGUGUGUGCGGGAACCUAGUGCCUAGUGCCCAGUGUGUCAAGUGCAGCUCGCUCGCCGGGCAAGAACGGGAAGUUAGCGGGAUUUUGCUUUUGCUCUACUCUACGUACGGGGCUGCUGCUGUUGCUGCAGGUGUAUAGGUGGUAUAGGGUAGGGUCAUAGACCACGUUUACACGGCCCUCUUAUUCCGGUUUAGUUAUAUCAAUAUAGAUAUACAAAAUGCAUAUCUGUCGAUAUAUAUAAAUAUACCCGUCUGUAUAUACAAAACCGGAAUAAGAGGGCCGUGUAAACGUAGUCGUAGAAGGUCUGUAAACUCGAGAGCUAAAGACACUUUAACCUUCAUUGAAUUUCUUCUUCCGUUAUCAGAUUAAUUUUUUUUACAAAUAUUCUUCGGUGAUCAAUUAUAACGGUUUACCAUUUUUACAAAAAAUCAAUUGAAAAGAAAUUGACAUAAAUAUUCGAUAGUCUUGGCAACUUGGCAAUCUCAUGGUGAUAUCGGAAUUCGGAAUGUCGUUAAACAUUUCAUGAUAGCAAGAAUUUAAUUUUUCUUCUAAACGACGUAAAUGGUAAUAUGUUUUGAACUAUAUCGUUUCGUUGGUUGAAUAUUAUAUUCAUAAUUUUCGAAGGGCAAUAAUAAAUCGGGUAAGACAAUAAAAAUCAUCGGUACAAUUAAUAACUAGUGUUUUUUUUGACUUCUCAGAGACAUUCUCCUCCUUCUUCCUUCAUUAAGGUGGAGAUGUUAGCGAACUCUGCUUUUGUAGUAUAAAAAAACAUUAAUUCUGUUUUUUAAAAUUUUUUCAUGUGGUAAAAUACUCAUUUCAAUUCUCAAGAAAUUGAUCAAGCCGCCAGGGUGCAGGAAAAUGAAAAAAUGAUCAAUGAUGCACUGAUAACUUUAUUUUUAAUUCACAUUGAAUUGGACGUAACAAGCUUUUUCACCAGAUAGGUUGCUCUCUUAAUGUUGGUGCUUC